rnacentral:rRNA from 1 species
GUGGGGAAUUUUGGACAAUGGGCGCAAGCCUGAUCCAGCCAUGCCGCGUGCAGGAUGAAGGCCUUCGGGUUGUAAACUGCUUUUGUACGGAACGAAAAGACUCUGGUUAAUACCUGGGGUCCAUGACGGUACCGUAAGAAUAAGCACCGGCUAACUACGUGCCAGCAGCCGCGGUAAUACGUAGGGUGCGAGCGUUAAUCGGAAUUACUGGGCGUAAAGCGUGCGCAGGCGGUUUUGUAAGAUCGAUGUGAAAUCCCCGGGCUCAACCUGGGAACUGCAUUGGUGACUGCAAGGCUGGAGUGCGGCAGAGGGGGAUGGAAUUCCGCGUGUAGCAGUGAAAUGCGUAGAUAUGCGGAGGAACACCGAUGGCGAAGGCAAUCCCCUGGGCCUGCACUGACGCUCAUGCACGAAAGCGUGGGGAGCAAACAGGAUUAGAUACCCGAGUAGUCC